UGGUCAGUGGUGGCUGUGUCAACGGCUGCGCAGCUCAUGACGGCGCCGGGCUCUAACGGCCAGAACCUGUAGUUUGGGCGAGGGAAUAUUCUUUCCUUUACAGCCUGCCAUCUUCCACGUCAUCUGAAUCUCCUCUGACUAAGGCAGGGAAUGGGAGGGCUAACUAUGGAUAGUCAAGAUACAAAGUGUUGUUCGUGUCAAUAGUCUACUGACUCUUUAACCCUCUGUGUACUUCAUCGUUAUCUACUGAAAAAAAAAAAGUACUGAUGUCUUUAUCCUUGGAGAGGAGAGGUGUAAUCGAGAUGGAGAAGGUCUUUAUUUGAACAUCUGGUUUUCUGCUGCAAGCCUCCCUGUGGCUGGAUAGAAGCCACUUUGAAGCCUGGAAGCAAUGCCUGAGGUUCUCUAAUUACCUAUUUUCCCCUCAAAUAGAAAUAAAAUUGACUGUAAGAAAAUUUGGCAAUGAUUCAUUUUGUGGACUGCUCUGAUAAUUUAUUGUAGCCCAAUUUCAUCAGUCCUAUUGAACUUAUAUCAAAGAAAGUUUUGAUGUGUUAAAGAGAAAUCCAUCACACAACAAACUGGCUUCAUUUCAGGUUCAUUGCUGUUAGGUAGAAUCUUCAUCACAGAUGGUAGGAGCCAGCAUCAUCUGGUCCCUGAAUCACCACCCCUCUUUCACCCUUUCCCAUCCCCAC
rnacentral:lncRNA from 1 species